AAAUAACAGCACGAUAUAUGGAAAAACCUAGAACGAGAAAUUUGAUUAACAAAAGCGUAAAUGCUCUCUUUGAGAGCUGGCUUUAUCAAAAAUAAUAUUAAGACAUUCUGGCCAGAAAGAGGUCGCCUAUAUCAAGGAAAACUUUUAGCAUUAACGGUAGAAACAAUAGAACAAGACACUGAAACAGUAUAUAUAUUUGACCAACAUAGAAUGACGGAUCACAAUAUGCACAUUGAGUAGAACCCCCUUCAAGACAAUGGCGAAAUAUACUAGAAGAAAUUUAACAUUGGAAAAAGUAGAUCUGAACUCACAUUGAAAAUAUAACCGGCAAUCCACAAAC